UGGCGGACGGGUGAGUAACGCGUGGAAAACCUGCCGUAUACUGGGGGAUAACACUUAGAAAUAGGUGCUAAUACCGCAUAAGCGCACAGCUUCGCAUGAAGCGGUGUGAAAAACUCUGGCGGUAUACGAUGGUUCCGCGUCUGAUUAGCUAGUUGGUGGGGUAAUGGCCUACCAAGGCAACGAUCAGUAGCCGGCCUGAGAGGGUGAACGGCCACAUUGGGACUGAGACACGGCCCAAACUCCUACGGAAGGCAGCAG
rnacentral:rRNA from 1 species